UUGGAGGCAAGUCUGGUGCCAGCAGCCGCGGUAAUUCCAGCUCCAAUAGCGUAUAUUAAAGUUGUUGCAGUUAAAAAGCUCGUAGUUGAAUUUCGGGGUUAGUAGGUUGGUCAUGCCUCUGGUAUGUACUGGUCUCACUGAUUCCUCCUUCCUUAUGAACCGUAAUGCCAUUAAUUUGGUGUUGCGGGGAAUUUGGACUGUUACUUUGAAAAAAUUAGAGUGUUUAAAGCAAGCUAACGCUUGAAUACACUAGCAUGGAAUAAUGAAAUAGGACG
rnacentral:rRNA from 1 species